CCCUGUGGCUCAGUUGGUAGAGCACGGUGUUUGCAACGCCACAUGGUGUGUGGGUUCGAUUCCCACAGGGG
rnacentral:tRNA from 1 species